rnacentral:rRNA from 1 species
GAUGAACGCUAGCGGCAGGCUUAACACAUGCAAGUCGAGGGGUAUGCUUCUUCGGAAGCAGAGACCGGCGCACGGGUGCGUAACGCGUAUGCAAUCUACCUUUUACAGAGGGAUAGCCCAGAGAAAUUUGGAUUAAUACCUCAUAGUAUUAUAGAAUGGCAUCAUUUUAUAAUUAAAGUCACAACGGUAAAAGAUGAGCAUGCGUCCCAUUAGCUAGUUGGAAGGUAACGGCUUACCAAGGCUACGAUGGGUAGGGGUCCUGAGAGGGAGAUCCCCCACACUGGUACUGAGACACGGACCAGACUCCUACGGGAGGCAGCAGUGAGGAAUAUGGACAAUGGGCGCAAGCCUGAUCCAGCCAUGCCGCGUGCAGGAUGACGGUCCUA